rnacentral:tRNA from 1 species
AGCAGCGUGGCUUAGUGGAUAGAGUACGAGCCUGGGAGUCAGAAGGACCUGGGUUCUAAUCCCAGCUCUGCCA